rnacentral:misc_RNA from 1 species
GAAAUGCGAUAAGUAAUGCGAAUUGCAGAAUUCCAGUGAGUCAUCGAAUCUUUGAACGCACAUUGCGCCCUUUGGUAUUCCGAAGGGCAUGCCUGUUCGAGCGUCAUUAUCACCCCUCAAGCCCCCGGCUUGGUGUUGGACGGUUUGGUGGAAGACCCCCCUUGGGGGCGUCCCACCCCUCCCAAAGACAAUGACGGCGGCCUCGUUGGACCCCCGGUACACUGAGUUCUUCACGGGACACGUAUCGGACACACGGGUUUACGGGCCACGGUCUGCCUCCCCUCAGGGAGAAUUUUUAUCAGGUUGACCUCGGAUCAGGUAGGGAUACCCGCUGAACUUAA